rnacentral:rRNA from 1 species
CGAAGGUGCAAGCGUUACUCGGAAUUACUGGGCGUAAAGCGUGCGUAGGUGGUUGUUAAGUCUGAUGUGAAAGCCCUGGGCUCAACCUGGGAAUUGCAUUGGAUACUGGCAGGCUAGAGUGCGGUAGAGGAUGGCGGAAUUCCUGGUGUAGCAGUGAAAUGCGUAGAGAUCAGGAGGAACAUCCGUGGCGAAGGCGGCCAUCUGGACCAGCACUGACACUGAGGCACGAAAGCGUGGGAGCAAACAGGAUU